rnacentral:rRNA from 1 species
AUGGAUUUUUUGUUUCUCUACUGGCUUCAUAUAAUUCUGAAAACACAAGUUUUCUUCAAGCCUCUUGCUCAUAUCUCUCAUCAAAGGGUGCUAUUCUAUAAUGCGUUUGUUUUGGGUACAAAAUGUCACAGGUUCAAAUCCUGUCAUCCCUACCUAUUACUUCUUUCUUCUUUAUAG